UUCAAAUAGUAUGUUAUCCAAUGCCUUACCAUGGGGAGUAAAAAUUCUUCAUAUUGAUAACAUUAGAUACUACAUAGAACAAAAGAAAAAAGAGUUGUAUUUAUUGAAGAAAUCAAGUAUUUCUGUAAAAGAUGUGGGGAAAGAGUUGGUAUUGGUGCACAAAAAACAAGAAGACUCAAAAACCUUUUGUAAAGGUAGAAUAUAUGAGCCAACUUUAUAGGCCAUUUUAUCUUCAGUUGACCAAUAUGCCUUUUAUAAAUUAUUCUAUUCAGAAGCCUUGCAGUCCAUUUGAUGUAGCUAAGCCAUCUAGCAACUGGAAGCAAACUCAGGUUAAACUAAGAAUCCAAAAAGAUGGUGAUAAAUGUGGUGGAACCCCAAUUCAAGUCCAGUUGAAAGAGCAGGAAAAAAAAGGAUAUUGUGAAUGUUGCUUGCUGAAAUAGGAAGAUCUUGAAACUCACCUUGCGAGCAGCACAGAAACUUUGCCCAGAGUAACCAAUAUCAAGUAUCUAAGUUAGUUUUUGACUUUGUGGAAUAUGAAAGAGACACACCUGGAAAAAGAAUAAAAUACAGUGUUGUAUCACUUUCUCCCAUUUCUGCAAGUGUCCUGAAAAAGACUGAACAAAAAGAAAAACUAGAAUUGCAGUAUAUUUCUCAGAAAGACCUCAGGGAAAAUAACAUACAGGUGUUGGAGCAGAAUUUCCUGUAUAAAGAGACCCAGGAACCUGGACAAAAACUUGUGUUUAUUUUAAAGUCCAUCCCUUCCCCUUUUGAAUGAAUUCAGAGGCCCAAAUGAGAAAAUGACUAAUAAAUGUUCCCUGUUAAAUCCACUUGAAAAUGACCUAAAACAGAAUUUUUCACACCUACCUCCACAUGAAAAUAAACAGGAAUACAAUCUUGACAUCUGUGAACAUAAAAUAACUGCAAAUUAAUAUGACUUAGAAGAACUUAAAGUAGAUUGCCGUUCAUGUAAGCUACAGACAUCUAUUUCUGUUUCUAAUUUCAAUGUGGAUGAUAGUGCAUCACAACCAAAACAAAAAAACACUAUGCUUUUUCCAGCAAAGGAUUUGAAGGGAAAAGACCUUCAUUCAAUACAUGGUCAUGAGUUUGGUGUGGUAAUAAUAAACAGUUCACAAGAACAUCUAAGAAUUCAGGCAAAGACUCCAUCCCAUAUUCCUCCUCUGGAACCCAAUGAAUGUGAAGUCAAGCAUAUGGAUAUUUUACCUUCUGGUAAAAUCCAUUGAAAAGUGAAAAUAUCAUUAGGACAAAAUAAAAAAGAAAAUCUGGAACCAAAUGCUGAAUUAGAUAAGAAAAGGAUGGAGUUUCUCAUUACACAAGAAGAAAACAGAAUUUGUAGUUCACCAGUACAAUCUUUACUGGAGUUGUUUCAGACUAGUGAAGAGAAAUCAGAAUUUCGGGGUUGUACAAGCUACACUGAAAACAGUGGUAUUUGCAAUGGUUUAGAUAUUUGGGAAGAAGAAAAUUCAAAUAAUCUGUUGUCAAUGUUUUUCUCUUCUCCAUCAACUUCUACAUUUAUUGGCUUUUAGGCUUUAAAAAUUGUGCUUUUCAGAGGUGAUAAGGAUGAUAUUCUUGAAAUUUUUAUAAAUAUGUAUAAAAAUUCUUAGGGUUUUUUUUGCCAACUUUGUUUACAGAACCAAAUGUAAAUAUUAAUAAGUGUUUGCAAUUUUCUAC